rnacentral:rRNA from 1 species
CCCGCCGGCGACCGGCGCACGGGUGAGUAACACGUAUGAAACCUGCCCGUAGCAGGGGGAUAAGCGGAAGAAAUUCCGUCUAAUACCGCGUAACAACCCAUGGAGGCAUCUCUGUGGGUUUUAAAGGAAGCGAUUCCGGCUACGGAUGGUCAUGCGUCGCAUUAGCUUGUUGGCGGGGUAACGGCCCACCAAGGCGACGAUGCGUAGGGGUUCUGAGAGGAAGGUCCCCCACACUGGUACUGAGACACGGACCAGACUCCUACGGAAGGCAGCAG